rnacentral:rRNA from 1 species
UACGGAGGGAGCUAGCGUUGUUCGGAAUUAUUGGGCGUAAAGGGCGCGUAGGCGGCCCGGUAAGUCAAAGGUGAAAUCCCUCGGCUCAACUGAGGAACUGCCUUUGAAACUGUCGGGCUUGAGGCCGGGAGGGGGUAGCGGAAUUCCCAGUGUAGCGGUGAAAUGCGUAGAUAUUGGGAGGAACACCAGUGGCGAAGGCGGCUACCUGGACCGGUUCUGACGCUGAGGCGCGAAAGCGUGGGUAGCAAACAGG